rnacentral:rRNA from 1 species
AGAGUUUGAUCAUGGCUCAGAUUGAACGCUGGCGGCAUGCUUUACACAUGCAAGUCGAACGGUAGGGUAGCAAUACCUGAGAGUGGCGAACGGGUGAGUAAUGCAUCGGAACAUGCCUAUUUGUGGGGGAUAGCCCGGCGAAAGCCGGAUUAAUACCGCAUACGAUCUAAGGAUGAAAGCUGGGGACCGCAAGGCCUAGCGCAAAUAGAGUGGCCGAUGUCAGAUUAGCUAGUUGGUGGGGUAAAGGCUCACCAAGGCAACGAUCUGUAGCUGGUUUGAGAGAACGACCAGCCACACUGGGACUGAGACACGGCCCAGACUCCUACGGGAGGCAGCAGUGGGGAAUUUUGGACAAUGGGCGAAAGCCUGAUCCAGCAAUGCCGCGUGCAGGAUGAAGGCCUUCGGGUUGUAAACUGCUUUUGUACGGAGCGAAAAGGCUUCUUCUAAUACAGGAGGCUCAUGACGGUACCGUAAGAAUAGCCC